GUGGCCAAUGCAAGCUUCGCUACCAUUUAUAUGUACCUUGCUCCGUGUUCCAGCGAAGUCUGUGGCGUUUCUUCUGUGUGUGGAGCUCUUUCCUUUGUGCGUGGACAUCUAUGAAUACUUCAGGCAUGUAAGGUUGACCUUGUCUAGAGGAGCAUGAGUGGAAAAAAACAGUGUAGCCGUGAGAUAAUAGGGUGACGUCACGACCAAUGAGAACGGCCUGCAGGGGGCGCAAGGAUUCACUUCUCUCUUGGACACUGACGGGUCUGGACACGCAAAUUCUGCUCCUGGCGUUGACCGUCACUGGAAGAGCGUAGCUUCGGUGGGGUUCUGUCUGCCUCUGAUGGGGUGCGGAUGUGUGGUUCGUCACUGGUAAACGGUGUUCGACGAUGCAGGUGGAUUUUGUGACGAGCGGAUUUACAAUGAGGGAAUGCUGUGAACGGGAAAAAUGAUGGUGAGUGUCUUUUUCACUCUGUUCAAGUGUUUGUUUGUUUUCCUCUGUUGCCCAGCAGUCGUACAAUUUCUCCUGACAUGUUCUGACAUGCCCCGAUAUGCAUGCUUUCCUGUGUUGACGUUUUGUUUUUCUUUUUUCUUUUUUGACAAGGAACAUUGUUGUCUUGACGAUAGUGCUGCCCUGAGUUUUGCGCUCCUGUUUACCCGUACUCUGUGUUGAUUUGUUGAGUGCCUAGUCCUCUUAUUAGCCGUUGAUGGAGUUAACGUGUUAGGAUAUUUUGUUCUUUUGCAAGUCUCAUUUAGUAAGACUUUGGAAUUCCUACGAUCAGUUUUCAUGCAUGGUGCUCUUCUGCAAUAGUUUCCUAUUCAAUCGUUAUAGAAGAAUAAAGGAAAUAAUCUUGAGAUAGUGAUUCAAUAAAAUAGGUCCUCUGUCUAGAGCGUACGCGUCCUUGAGCCACGCAGGUGCAUGAUGAUGUCAUGCCAUGACUUCAUUGUAGAUUGACCUUGUCCAAAGGAGCAUUAGUGGAAAAAAAACAGUGUAGCCCUGAGACAAGAGGAUGAUGUCAUGACCAAUGUGAACGGCCAGCAGGGGGCACAGGAAUGCUCUUCUCUCUUAGCCUCUCGCAGGUGGUCGCCGCAGAGGGCGCUAAGAGCGCAUGCGUAGCGGCCGCGGAGCGGCGCCUCAGCCAGUUUCUCGCUGGCUGUCGUGGAGAGCAGAUGUGUGCUCGGUUGCUCAGCAGUCCCCGCGCUCGCUCAGUUUAUGCCUGGCUGAUGAGCAGUCGCCGCGGGGGAAAAGGUGAGUGAUUUGCCGCGCUCCUUUUCUCGCAUGUUUGCCGUGUUUAGCGGUGACCAACGAGUGAUUUGUCGAUGUUUGACCGCGCUCGUGUUAAGCCUUUUCUCGCAUGUUUAGAGUUGUUUAGCGGAGAGCAAGCCUGUUGUUUAGCGGUUCCCGCCUUAUGUUAGGUGUAUAGUGUUGAGGCGCUGUGGUUAGGCCUAGUCGAUUGCCUUUUCCCCAAUGUGUACUGUUUUCUGUUUAGCAGUAGUGGUUAGACCUUUUCUCUUGCAUGCCUAGACUUGUUUAGCAGUGUUGGCAUUUUCUACCUGCCGUUAGUGUCUUGUUCUGUCUUUCUCGCCUAGAGCUAUGAUGGUGGCGCCAUCUGGUGUGGUGCCUGGCAACUAAGUGGCCACCUGUCGUCGAUCUCUGGAACUGCUGGGUGCCAACUACCAACAUGGCGGGCGCUGGUCCCCCCGGAGCGGUUUCUUCGCCGCGGCAUCGUUGAUUUUCAAAUAAAUUGUUUCUCUCCACUCUA